CAAAAUCGAAAUCGAAAUUCAAAUUCCUCUCCUCUAAACCUUAAUUUUCCAUUUCCGAUAUGGUUUCUUCCGGCAUUUCUUCUUCCACCCUCAUUUUUGAUUUGGAUGAUACCCUGUAUUCUUCCAAGACUGGAAUCGUCAAAGCUCUUAAACGAAGAAUUUCUUGCUGAGAAAUUUGGAAUUUGUGAAUCCGAUGCUCAGGAUAUGAACAGCGAGCUUUUCCGAACUUGUGAUAUCCAUCCCGAUGAUUAUCACAGGUUGGAAGAGCAACAAAGAGCCAAGAAGCUGAUUAUGCUAUAGAAACGGUGGCAAACAUGGGUGCAGGUGAUACCAGAAAUAUGGGUUGCUGAGGAUGAUAAGAGGAUUGGUCGCGCCACAAAUGAAAUGGGUUCCGUUUAUGCUGCCACUACCGUUGUUGCUUGACAGACUUGUACAUCUACUUUCAAUAUGUUCCAACCCCACAACUAAUU